GGCAUGCCUAACACAUGCAAGUCGAACGGACCCUUCGGGGUUAGUGGCGCACGGGUGCGUAACGCGUGGGAAUCUGCCCUUGGGUUCGGAAUAACUCGCCGAAAGGCGUGCUAAUACCGGAUGAUGUCGUAAGACCAAAGAUUUAUCGCCCAAGGAUGAGCCCGCGUAAGAUUAGCUAGUUGGUGGGGUAAAGGCCCACCAAGGCGACGAUCUUUAGCUGGUCUGAGAGGAUGAUCAGCCACACUGGGACUGAGACACGGCCCAGACUCCUACGGGAGGCAGCAGUGGGGAAUAUUGGACAAUGGGCGAAAGCCUGAUCCAGCAAUGCCGCGUGAGUGAUGAAGGCCUUAGGGUUGUAAAGCUCUUUUACCCGGGAUGAUA
rnacentral:rRNA from 4 species